rnacentral:hammerhead_ribozyme from 1 species
AUUCAGCUGACGAGUCCCGAAUAGGACGAACUGCGCGUGCUGGAU